AAUCCUCUCGUGCGGCCCAACAAACUCACCACACUACACGGACUUUGUUACAACCACCACCGAGUACCGUCCGUCCAUGAAUCCUCUAGGCGUAGGCCCAUCUAUAUGCCCAUGCCUAGCCCUUGCCAUGCCCCACCGUAUUAUGGGAGAGGAUCACCACCACGCGCAGGAAAGCGAGUACAGGGCCACCGCACGCAAUCUUCGACUCGCCAUCGAUUCAUCCUGGAUGAGCGCACUGUGGAUGUCACCAGGGAGCCAUGGAAGCUAGUGCAGACAUCACUCGGGACCGGAGAUGCCCUGCUCACGGUGGAUUGCACACCGACGGAAGUCUCAGCCAUGAAUCUGCCCCACACCGCGAGUCGAUCUCUUCGUGACAUCACCACUGGAGAAGAAAAGGUAUCGCCAGAGGAGACUACUACGAUGAGAUCUAGGUGUCGUCUCCUAGUCAAUUGUUGGCGCCGAGGAAAUAAUUAUCUUAGUUCAAUUUAUUUAUUAUCAAUUAUUUUGUAAGACAUUUUCAUUGUGUAAUAAAGAUUAUGACAUUUGUCUCUAUACACUGAGUCAUUGUAUGUGUGGACCUUUACUUGGUGCACAUAUGAGA